UUAACUUAUUUGCUUGUUUUCUCAGAGAGGCCACUAGAAUACAAAAUAGUUUUUGGCGCUCCGGCGGGCACCCCCCGAAGGAGGCAGCGUCCCCAGGGAGGGGACGCCCGCCGAGGCAACAUGUUACGAGUAACGUUCACAAUGGUUUGGGAGUCUUUUUAGAACUCUGUAAUGAUCCCUCCGCUGGUUCACCAACGGAGA
rnacentral:misc_RNA from 1 species